UGGGGAAUAUUGCACAAUGGGGGAAACCCUGAUGCAGCGACGCCGCGUGAACGAAGAAGGUAUUCGUAUCGUAAAGUUCUGUCCUAUGGGAAGAUAAUGACAGUACCAUAGAAGAAAGCUCCGGCUAAAUACGUGCCAGCAGCCGCGGUAAUACGUAUGGAGCGAGCGUUGUCCGGAAUUAUUGGGCGUAAAGGGUACGCAGGCGGUUUAAUAAGUCGAAUGUUAAAGAUCGGGGCUCAACCCCGUAAAGCAUUGGAAACUGAUAAACUUGGGUAGUGGAGAGGAAAGUGGAAUUCCUAGUGUAGUGGUGAAAUACGUAGAUAUUAGGAGGAAUACCAGUAGCGAAGGCGACUUUCUGGACACAAACUGACGCUGAGGUACGAAAGCGUGGGGAGCAAACAGG
rnacentral:rRNA from 1 species